ACUCAAAUGAAUAGACGGGGGCCCGCACAAGCAGUGGAUUAUGUGGUUUAAUUCGAAGCAACGCGAAGAACCUUACCAGGUCUUGACAUCCUAUGGAUCCGCCAGAAAUGGUGGAGUGCCUUCGGGAACAUAGAGACAGGUGGUGCAUGGUUGUCGUCAGCUCGUGUCGUGAGAUGUUGGGUUAAGUCCCGCAACGAGCGCAACCCUUACUAUUAGUUGCUACGCAAGAGCACUCUAAUAGGACUGCCGUUGACAAAACGGAGGAAGGUGGGGAUGACGUCAAAUCAUCAUGCCCUUUAUGAUCUGGGCUACACACGUAAUACAAUGGCGAUUAACAAAGUGAAGCAAAACCGCGAGGUAGAGCAAAUCUCUAAAAAUCGUCUCAGUUCAGAUUGCAGGCUGCAACCCGCCUGCAUGAAGUCGGAAUUGCUAGUAAUCGCGGAUCAGCAUGCCGCGGUGAAUACGUUCCCGGGCCUUGCACACACCGCCCGU
rnacentral:rRNA from 1 species